rnacentral:rRNA from 1 species
GGAAUAUUGCGCAAUGGGGGAAACCCUGACGCAGCGACGCCGUGUGAGUGAUGAAGGCCUUCGGGUUGUAAAGCUCUGUCGGAAGGGAAGAAUGUCUUAGGUGCUAAUAUCAACUAGGAUCGACGGCACCUUCAAAGGAAGCACCGGCUAACUCCGUGCCAGCAGCCGCGGUAAGACGGAGGGUGCAAGCGUUGGUCGGAAUUACUGGGCGGAAAGCGCGUGUAGGCGGUUUUGCAAGUCAGAUGUGAAAGCCCAUGGCUCAACCAUGGAAGUGCAUUUGAAACUGCUUAACUUGAGUCUGGGAGAGGGAAGCGGAAUUCCUGGUGUAGAGGUGAAAUUCGUAGAUAUCAGGAGGAACACCGGUGGCGAAGGCGGCUUCCUGGACCGGUACUGACGCUGAGACGCGAAAGCGUGGGGAGCAAAC